AACGAACGCUGGCGGCAGGCUUAACACAUGCAAGUCGAGCGGGCCCUUCGGGGUCAGCGGCGGACGGGUUAGUAACGCGUGGGAACGUGCCCUUUGCUCUGGAAUAGCACUGGGAAACUGGGGGUAAGACCGGAUGUGCCCCGUCGUGGCGACACGGCGGGGGAAAGAUUUAUCGGCAAGGGAUCUGCCCGCGUCCGAUUAGGGAGUUGGUGUGGUAACGGCGCACCAAGCCGUCGAGCGGUAGCUCGUUUGAGAGGAUGAUCAGCAACACUGGGACUGAGACACGGCCCAGACUCCUACGGGAGGCAGCAGUGGAGAAUCUGGGACAAUGGGGGCAACCCUGAUCCAGCCAUGCCGCGUGGGUGAUGAAGGCCUUAGGGUCGUAAAGCCCUUUCGCUGGGGAAGACAAGGACGGUACCCAGAGAAGAAGCCCCGGCUAACUCCGUGGCAGCCGCCGCGGUAACAC
rnacentral:rRNA from 1 species